rnacentral:rRNA from 1 species
UACAGAGGGUGCAAGCGUUAAUCGGAAUUACUGGGCGUAAAGCGUGCGCAGGCGGUUUGUCGCGUCUGCUGUGAAAACUCGGGGCUUAACCCCGGGCCUGCAGUGGGUACGGGCAGACUAGAGUGCGGUAGGGGAGACUGGAAUUCCUGGUGUAGCGGUGAAAUGCGCAGAUAUCAGGAGGAGCACCGGUGGCGAAGGCGGGUCUCUGGGCCGAUAUUGACGCUGAGGAGCGAAAGCGUGGGGAGCGAACAGG